GCGGACGUGGUGGAAUUGGUAGACACGUCAGCUUGAGGGGCUGAUGCUCGUAAAGAGUGUGGAGGUUCGAGUCCUCUCGUCCGCACCA
rnacentral:tRNA from 1 species